rnacentral:rRNA from 1 species
CCUACGGGCGGCAGCAGUGAGGAAUAUUGGUCAAUGGUCGGGAGACUGAACCAGCCAAGCCGCGUGAGGGAGGCAGGUACAGAGUAUCGUAAACCUCUUUUGUCAGGGAACAAAGGCGGGGACGUGUCCCCGGAUGAGUGUACCUGAAGAAAAAGCAUCGGCUAACUCCGUGCCAGCAGCCGCGGUAAUACGGAGGAUGCGAGCGUUAUCCGGUUUUAUUGGGUUUAACGGGUGCGCAGGCGGUCUGUUAAGUCAGCGGUCAAAGCCCGGGGCUCAACCCCGGCCCGCCGUUGAAACUGGCAGGCUCGAGUUGGAGAGAAGUAUGCGGAAUGCGCGGUGUAGCGGUGAAAUGCAUAGAUAUCGCGCAGAACUCCGAUUGCGAAGGCAGCAUGCCGGCUCCACACUGACGCGGAGGCACGAAAGCGUGGGUAUCGAACAGGAUUAGAUACCCUGGUAGUC